CGCGGCCUAUCAGCUUGUUGGUGGGGUAACGGCCUACCAAGGCAACGACGGGUAGCUGGUCUGAGAGGACGAUCAGCCACACUGGCACUGAGAUACGGGCCAGACUCCUACGGGAGGCAGCAGUGAGGAAUAUUGCGCAAUGGGCGAAAGCCUGACGCAGCGACGCCGCGUGGGGGAAGAAGGUUUUCGGAUUGUAAACCCCUUUUAGGAGGAAAGAUGGGGUGGGUUUCCACCCGGACGGUACCUCCAGAAAAAGCCACGGCUAACUUCGUGCCAGCAGCCGCGGUAAUACGAAGGUGGCGAGCGUUGUUCGGAUUUACUGGGCGUAAAGAGCACGUAGGCGGUUUAGUAAGCCCCUUGGGAAAGCUAUGGGCUUAACCCAUAAAGGUCGAGGGGGACUGCUAAGCUAGAGGGCGGGAGAGGAGCGCGGAAUUUCCGGUGUAGCGGUGAAAUGCGUAGAUAUCGGGAAGAAGGCCGGUGGCGAAGGCGGCGCUCUGGAACGUCUCUGACGCUGAGGUGCGAAAGCGUGGGGAGCAAACAGGAUUAGAUACCCUGAUAGUCCACGCCGUAAACGAUGGGCACUAAGUGUCGGCAGGUUACUGCCGGUGCCGCAGUUAACGCAGUAAGUGCCCCGCCUGGGGAGUACGG
rnacentral:rRNA from 1 species